UCCAUCACACAAACUCCUAAACCCACAAUAUACAACCCAAGAUACCCGGGCACAUUUACAGAAAUGCCCCCCAAACUCCUCACUUAUCUCAUCCUAGCCCUCCUCGCCGCCUCCGCCGCCGCAGCGCGGCGCCACCCGUCUCCGGCGAGCUCAGCCGCCGCCGGGGAGCCCGUCUACCUAUGGCCGCUGCCGAGGAACUUCACCUCGGGUUCCCGGACCCUGCUGGUCGACCCUGACCUCGCGCUCGACGGCCAGGGCCCCGGCGGCGCCGCCGCGGCGGUGGCCGAGGCGUUCGAGAGGUACAGAUCGCUCGUCUUCUCUCCAUGGGCGCACGCCGCGCGCAACGCCUCGGGUGGGUACGACGUCGGGAAGCUCACCGUCGUCGUCGCCUCCGCCGAUGAGAAGCUGGAGCUUGGAGUGGACGAGAGCUACACGAUCUAUGUCGCGGCGGCGGGCGGCGUCAAUUCGAUCGUGGGUGGAGCAACCAUAGAGGCUAACACCAUAUAUGGAGCUAUUCGUGGAUUAGAGACAUUCAGUCAAUUGUGUGUUUUCAACUACGAUACCAAAAAUGUCGAAGUGCGUCAUGCCCCAUGGUACAUUGAAGACGAACCACGCUUUGCUUUUCGUGGGUUGCUCCUUGACACAUCAAGGCAUUUCCUCCCAGUAGAUGUGAUUAAACAAGUGAUUGACUCCAUGUCAUUUUCUAAGCUGAAUGUUCUUCAUUGGCAUAUCAUCGACGAGCAAUCUUUUCCAUUAGAAGUACCAUCAUAUCCAAAACUAUGGAAGGGUUCAUAUUCAAAAUUGGAGCGCUACACUGUGGAAGAUGCACGUGAUAUUGUCAGCUAUGCUAGGAAAAGAGGUAUCCAUGUCAUGGCUGAAAUUGACGUGCCUGGCCAUGCAGAAUCAUGGGGAAAGGGAUAUCCAAAGCUCUGGCCUUCUCCUAAGUGCAGAGAACCGUUAGAUGUUACUAGCAAUUUCACAUUUGAAGUUAUUUCUGGAAUUUUGUCUGAUAUGAGAAAAAUCUUUCCAUUUGGGCUCUUCCACUUGGGUGGUGAUGAAGUAUAUACAGGUUGCUGGAAUGCAACACCCCAUGUGAAACAGUGGCUUCAUGAACGCAACAUGACUACAAAAGAUGCUUACAAAUACUUCGUCCUGAAGGCUCAAGAGAUAGCAAUUAACCUUAAUUGGAUUCCAGUAAAUUGGGAAGAAACCUUCAACUCAUUCAAAGAAAAUCUCAAUCCUCUAACCGUGGUGCAUAACUGGCUGGGUCCUGGAGUCUGCCCUAAAGUUGUUGAAAAGGGUUUCAGAUGUAUAAUGAGUAACCAAGGUGUAUGGUACCUUGAUCAUCUUGAUGUUCCCUGGCAAGAUUUCUACACUAGUGAGCCACUCGCUGGAAUUAAUAACACAGCACAGCAAAAGCUUGUACUUGGUGGAGAGGUUUGCAUGUGGGGUGAGACAGCAGACACCUCUGAUGUUCAGCAAACGAUAUGGCCACGAGCAGCUGCAGCAGCAGAGCGUAUGUGGAGUCAGUUAGAGGCCAUAUCUGCCCAAGACCUGGAAACAACCGUCUUGGCUCGGUUACACUAUUUCAGAUGCCUGCUGAAUCACCGUGGAAUCGCUGCAGCUCCAGUCACAAACUCUUAUGCUCGGCGUCCCCCAAUUGGUCCUGGUUCAUGCUUCAUUCAGUAAACAGGGAGCUGCAGAGCAAAGAUAGGCAUAAGAGGGGUAUUUGCCUCCAUACACCUUCCACACUUCAGACAAAAAUGUCUUGUUUUUGAAUUCCUCCUACAUGUAUCGGGUUCAAGAUUUGCAACUGGCCAAUUGGCAAAGCUCCUUUGAACUGGUAAAAGAGAAGCGAUCUCGAUAAGGAUAUUUCAAUUGCCAUUGCUUACUCGACCCGAUUUGGAUUUUGGGACCCCCCAUCACUCUCAGUCAUCAUCCUUUCCUGAGUUUGGCUUUGACCUGAUACUUAUGCUCCACUUGCUGGUCCAAGAUUUCAUUUAUGGGGGCGGGUAAGUUACGACCACCUGUUGCUGCUUGGUGAUCUAGAUGAGAGAUGAGAACAAGUUUUGGUCAUUUGUUACAGGUCACUGUCCUCCAAUGUCACCAUCCUUGGCCAUACAUAUCUACAGCUGCUGUUUUUUUCUCUCUAUCCAGAGCUCAGUUUUUUCGUAAGGUGGGCAGUGAAUGUGAAGAAAGGAAUACCACCUAUAAUAAGCAGCUGUGUGAAACUUUUUCGUUAAAAGGAAGAGAAAAAGAUUGGCCCUUUGGACUGAGACCAGUGACUGUGACUCUUGAGGCAGACUGGAGAAUGGCCUUUUGUAUUGAUGUUCUUCAUUGCACUAUUGCGGUACAUAUAUUUUUCUUCCUAUGUGAAUCACUGAUGUGACUGCUGGAUGAUCCGUAGAAUACCUAUGGACUAUGUGGGUACCAUGUAGGAGACUAGUAGUCGAUCUGUAGUACAUGUUGUGCAAGUUGAGAUCUUUUUGUCCCUGGGAGUAUUUGUAGUAAUUUCCUGCUACAAAGUGUGUGCUUGUGCUCUUUCACAGAAUCAUGUAAACCUGUGUUUACUCGAUCUACAACUGUAGCUCCUUACACAGGAAGCAAGGGAUCCUGUGUGACACCGAGAUUAACAUUACUAUAUGAUAUAGUUGAAACAAUGUUGCACUCAACUUA